rnacentral:rRNA from 1 species
UACGGGGGGGGGCAAGCGUUUGUUCGGAAUUACUGGGCGUAAAGGGCGUGUAGGCGGCCAACUAAGUCCGACGUGAAAUCCCCAGCUUAACCUGGGAACUGCGUCGGAUACUGGAUGGCUUGAAUUCGGGAGAGGGAUGCAGAAUUCCAGGUGUAGCGGUGAAAUGCGUAGAUAUCUGGAGGAAUACCGGUGGCGAAGGCGGCAUCCUGGACCGAGAUUGACGCUGAAGCGCGAAAGCUAGGGGAGCAAACGGG